GAAUAAUCUGUAAAAACAGGUGUAGACAUAAAUUUGCUUGUCUGCUUAAAAGGGAAGUCGGUUUAAAUCCGACACUGUCCCGCAACUGUAUUUGGGAGCAAUCAAUAAAACCACUGUUUUCCAGCGUAGGAAAAUGGGAAGGAAUUGAUUUGCGUUGACCAUAAGUCAGGAGACCUGCCUGUUUUAGCAAGCAUCA
rnacentral:ncRNA from 2 species